ACCUUUGCAUGUCGUUAAAUACAUACAUACAUACAUAAUACUUUAUUUUGACACGCUAGCCUCGUCAACAUCAGCUGUUUUUCAUGAGGGGCGUGUUAACAAAUUACACAAAUAAUUUAUACAAAUUAAAGUUACAAAGGCAACGCAAAUGACAGUCAUUUGAAUAAAAAGGUGAACGUGUUUAUUUUAGGGGAUGUAGUAGAAUAUAAGGUGCGGGAGGAAGAAAGGAUGGAAUUAGCCUAUUAGUAAGAAAUGACGAUGGUAAAAUUUAAUUGUGUUGGCAUAUACCGUCCCUUCUGUUGUACCAGCAAUACUUUUAAGAAACUGGUCGAUGGAAACGUGUGGAGUCGGUAUAACAGAAUAACUACCUUAUGCGUUGUAGUGACUCCAGUCUUUUAGCACAACAGGAUAUUUAAACAUAUUAUAUACAACAGAGGCCGCCAUUGCGCUAGCAAAUGGCUGCCAAAGUUUUGUUUUCUCUUUACUUCCGUCAGCAAAAUCCGACACUGCUUUAAUUACAGCCCAUUCUAUGCCAAGAU